AAAGAGACCACCAAAUUUCCAAUACAGCUCUUCAGCACUGAGUGUUUCAACUACUCUGGCAGGUAAAAUGUGACCUGAAGCAGUUGCAGUAGCUGUGAGACAACAGAAUAGUCUACCCAAACUGAAAUGCUAGCAAAAUACCAGGAGCAGGCUUCCACGGGGUCAUUUGUCCCCCUUGGCACAGGCUAAGCUCAGUUUUGUCUACAAGGGAGAGUGUGAAUUGAAAGUCUGUCCCGUAAAUAAGACCUGGCUCUAAUUAACAUGUUAAGAGAAGAACAAAAAAAGCCCCAAACUCUGCAUUUUUCCAUUGAAUCACUUGUGAUGCUCAAUGAAAAUUAACAUUUCUUAUUUAACUUAUCCAGGAGCAGAACUGUAUCAUACUUCUUACUUGAACUUAAUUCAGCUUCACGAAUAGUGUGAGGAGUCCCUCAUGUAACUACAGUUCUGAACUGUAACUGAUGCAAUUCUGGCUGUGGCCCAGGUACCGCGUAAUUUGUCCCUGCUUAAUCUGGACUGUAAUAGCAGCUGAAGUUGCCACUGGCACAGGCUGCUAUGAUUAUGUAGCGCCUCUGCUUCCACGGUAUGUGUGUCCAGCAGUAAACAGCCUGCUGAAUGUAAGAUUGAUAAGCACCCUUGUAUCCUCAAGGAAAGAGAGAGGAGUAAAGCAACUGUUGGCAGGGAGAGGGAGAUGAAGAUUAUAUUGAAGGGAGGAAGUGUGUUUGCAGGGGUGGCUUUGGAAUGAUCCCUCUUUGAAAACCAUCCUGUAAGAUAUGUGCUGGAGUAGCUGUGGUUUUUGUCUCAAAGUUCAUUCAUUUGUUGGAAAUUUAUCACAGGGAAAAAAGUCUGUAGAAUUACAGCUGCGAGAGAGAGAACUCCAGUCCUAAAAACUGGUAUGCGCCAUCCUUCACCGUUAGGACCGGAAAGAAAGCCUGACAUUCAAACUGCUAAACCCAAAAGGCUGAAGUGUAAGAAACAAGAGAAAACUAAUACAUUAGAAGAAGCUGCAUCGUUGUUCACUCAGGUUGAUGUGCCAGCAAACACGUCAGCCAGAUCAGCGGGUCUGACCGCAGAAGAACUGCCAGCCAAACAGGCAGAUGCUGUGGUGCAAAGGAGUUCCAGCAGUUUGCUGAACAAAGAGGAAAAUAAAGCCUUCAAGAAUCUUGGUUGUGCUCAGCCUGCAGAGCUAGAUCCUCUGUGUGUCAGACAAGAAAUCUGCUCCAUUGUUAGAAUGUCACCGUGCCAGAGGCCUCCCAGGCUUUGCCAAAUCCCAGUUAGCUCAAAACCAUUUUCCCUUCCGGAAGGAGUGCCUGAAGAUGUUAUUACAAGUACCAAAAAUUGGAUCUACUGUAAACGCCGAUGAGGCUUCUGGAUUUCAGCAGGAUUCAACAGAAGAAAUCGCUGUCUGCUGCUGUGGAAGGAGGUGAAACACAACUACAAAUCAGUAAUUACUGGCCCUCUUUUCUUGGCCAUAUACAUUGUUUGAAUUUAGUAGAAUGCUUUGCAAUAAGCUUGUAAAUACCUGACUUAGGUGCUUCAUAUUAAAUCAUUUUGUACAAGCAACUACAUCUUAUUCUGGGCAUUGUUCUGUAAGGACUCCAUAAAGAUAAUUCUUCAGUUCAUUUAGAUUUUACAAGGUGUGACUCGGGAAGAGCAGAACACGUUGUAUUCAUGGAAUUGAUUUUUGCCUCUUGCUCUGCUGCUCUAGACCUAUCCACUGUUGUACUAUAGUCAUAGAAUCAUGGAAUCAUAGAAUAGUUAGUAUUGGAAAGGACCUAGUUCCAACCCCCCUGCCAUGGGCAGGGACACCUCACACUAAAUCAUAUCACCCAAGGCUUCAUCCAACCUGGUCUUAACACUGCCAGGGAUGGAGCAUUCACAGCCUCCCUGGGCAACCCAUUCCAGUGCCUCACCACCCUAACAGUAAAGAAUUUCUUCCUUAUAUCCAGUCUAAACCUCUGCUGUUUAAGUUUCAACCCAUUGCCUCUUGUCCUAUCACUACAGUCCCUAAUGAAGAAUCCCUCCCCAGCAUCCCUGUAGGCCCCCUUCAGAUACUGGAAGGCUGCUCUGAGGUCUCCACGCAGCCUUCUCUUCUCCAGGCUGAACAGCCCUAACUUUCUCAGCCUGUCUUCAUAUGGGAGGUGCUCCAGUCCCUGAUCAUCCUCGUGGCCUCCUCUGGACUUGUUCUAACAGUUCCAUGUCCUUUUUAUGUUGAGGACACCAGAACUGUACACAAUACUCCAAGUGAGGUCUCAGGAGAGCAGAGUAGAGGGGCAGGAUCACCUCCUUUGACCUGCUGGUCAUGCUCCUUUUGAUGCAGCCCAGGAUACGGUUGGCUUUCUGGGCUGUAAGCGCACACUGAAGGCAGCUCAUGUUCAUUUUCUCAUUGACCAACACCCCCAAGUGCUUCUCUGCAGGACUACCAUGAAUUUCCUUUUUGCCCAACCUGUAGCUGUGCCUGGGAUUGCUCCGACCCAGGUGUAGGACCUUGCACUUGGCAUGGUUAAACUUCAUGAGGUUGGCAUCAGCCCACCUCACAAGUGUGUCAAGGUCCCUCUGAAUGCCAUUCCUUCCCUCUAGCGUAUCAACAGAACCACACAGCUUGGUGUCAUCGGCAGACUUGCUGAGGGCACACUCAAUUCCAUUGUUCAUGUCAGCGACAAAGAUAUGAAACAAGACCGGUCCCAACACCGAUCCCUGAGGGACACCACUCGUUACUGGUCUCCAGCCAGACAUUGAGCCGUUGACCACAACUCUUUGAGUGUGACCAUCCAGCCAGUUCUUUAUCCACCGAGUGGUCCACCUAUCAAAUUGAUGACACUCCAAUUUAGAGACAAGGACGUCAUGUGGGACAGUGUCGAACGCUUUGCACAAGUCCAGGUAGAUGACAUCAACUGCUCCACCCCGUCCAUCACUUUUGUAGCCCUGUCAUAGAAGGCCACCAAAUUGGUCAGGCAGGAUUUUCCCCUAGUAAAGCCGUGCUGGCUGUCACCAAGCACCUUGUUGUUUUUCAUGUGCCCUAGCAUGCCCUUCCCAUUUCAUUGUGAUUCUUUUGGAGUAUCGCCCAUCUCAGUCAAUGUUUCUUCUAGUGGCUUCAGAUUUGUGUAGAGGAAAUAGGUGCCUUACAAAAAGGGUAGAAAAUAGCUUUUUGUAGUUGAACUAUCUCAAGAGGUGGAUAUUGGCAUUCUGGAUUUUCAGGCUGCUGUUCAGGCUGUGUGGCACAUAGGCUGGAUUUCCAGUGUUUCCAAUUCAGCUCAUGGAUUGUUAAUCCAUAAACAGUGUUCUUCAGCAGUGGGCUGUAUGCUUCUGGAAACACUGACAAGAGCACGGUUCCCCUCCACUUGAAUUCACUGUAAAGUAAUCUUGAUCCCUACAGCAGUCUCAACACAACACCCUGUACUCAGACUCUUUUGUGCAUAUAAAGGAAGUUUUUCAGGGUUUUCACAUCAUAUCAUGGCUUUCCAAGCCUCUCAAAGUCUGUUUCUCAGUAUGAUCACCCAGAGUAUUCAUGCCCUGGAAAACAGUUCUGUAUUUCCAGAAAGAGCAUGCCGAGCGGAUGUCUAAAAUCUACAGCUUUAAUUACUUUGACUACAUCUGAAAAUACCUGUGAUAGUUCAGACCCUGAUCCUUUUCCCAUUACUCUGGGCUAGAAGGAAGUGCCAAUAAAUGCUGCUAGAUUAGUUUAUGAGCA
rnacentral:lncRNA from 14 species